AGGCGGCAUGAUUUCCAUGCAAGUCGGACGGCAGCACGGGUGCUUGCACUUGGUGGCGAGUGGCGAACGGGUGAGUAAUGCAUUGGAACGUACCGAGUAGUGGGGGAUAACUAGCCGAAAGAUUAGCUAAUACCGCAUACGACCUGAGGGUGAAAGCGGGGGACUCUUUGAGCCUCGCGCUAUUUGAGCGGCCAAUGUCUGAUUAGGUAGUUGGUGGGGUAAAGGCCUACCAAGCCGACGAUCAGUAGCGGGUCUGAGAGGAUGAUCCGCCACACUGGGACUGAGACACGGCCCAGACUCCUACGGGAGGCAGCAGUGGGGAAUUUUGGACAAUGGGCGAAAGCCUGAUCCAGCCAUGCCGCGUGUCUGAAGAAGGCCUUCGGGUUGUAAAGGACUUUUGUCGGGGAAGAAAAGCGGAUUGCUAAUACCAGUUCGUGAUGACGGUACCCGAAGAAUAAGCACCGGCUAACUACGUGCCAGCAGCCGCGGUAAU
rnacentral:rRNA from 1 species